AGAGGGGUUCGGGCCGACGCGGCGCCCACCCGAUGGCCGUGGUGCGGCGUCGAGGAAAGUCCGGGCUCCACAGGGCAGGGUGGUGGGUAACGCCCACCGGGAGCGAUCCCAGGGAAAGUGCCACAGAAAUCAUACCGCCGAUGGCCCUGCUGCAAGGGCACAGGCAAGGGUGAAAUGGUGCGGGGCGCGAGCCCUUAAUGUAAGAGCGCACCGCAGCGCUGGUGACAGCGCUGGCAAAGGCAAACCCCACCCGGAGAAAGGCCAAAUAGGGGAGGAGCGUUCCGGAGCGUUCCGGGGCGCGCGAGGCGGCCCGUCUCGCCGACUCCCGGGUAGGCCGUUGGAGGCGUCCGGCAACGGGCGUCCCAGAUGGAUGUCGGCCCAGGUCGGCGCCGCCACGGCGUCGACCGGACAGGACCCGGCUUACAGAACCCGCUCUCGUC
rnacentral:RNase_P_RNA from 1 species